rnacentral:rRNA from 1 species
UCGAUGAAGAACGCAGCGAAAUGCGAUACGUAAUGUGAAUUGCAGAAUUCAGUGAAUCAUCGAAUCUUUGAACGCACAUUGCACUCUCUGGUAUUCCGGAGAGUAUGCUUGUUUGAGUAUCAGUAAACACCUCAAAUCUCGACAUUCGUGUUGAGAAUUGGACUUGAGCAAUCCCAACUCUUUGCAAAAAGAGGCGGGCUGCUUGAAAUGCAGGUGCAGCUGGACAUUCUUCUGAGCUAAAAGCAUAUUUAUUUAGUCCCGUCAAACGGAUUAUUACUUUUGCUCUAGCUAACAUAAAGGUUGAAUGUACUACGUGCUGACUGAUGCAGGAUUACCAAGUUUCCGUCAAAAGAAACUUGUAAACUCGAUCUCAAAUCAAGUAAGACUACCCGCUGAACUUAA